rnacentral:lncRNA from 10 species
UAUACCAGUUAAACUCCGCCAUUUUGCCUCUCAGUGUUCAAGCUUGAGCCCACGCAUCCAACUCCUGAGAUCUUACUGGGAAGCUGCUGAUCAUCAGUUUCAGGAAGUCAGCAUGGAUCAGCCUUACGUUCAUGGCCUCCAGGCCCUAUUCUCCUGCCUCACAGGGACCGGCCAGGAUCUCUAUCCUUACAGCACGUUGGAAUGUAUAUGCUCCUCUCCCCACAUCGCCUUAGGGAGCAGGCAGGUGUCAGGGGCAGCACAAGGACGGCCAACAGGACAGGUGCAUAAGUAAGACUGAUACAAUUUGAGGGCUCAGCUCUGAGAAUACUCUAAACAGGAUCCAAAUAACAUUGUUGCCUCCUAACCAGCAGGUGGGAGCUCAAGAGAAAGACUAGACUUGUUCCACAUUAAAUAAGUAAUAGUAUUUUUUCCCUUGAACAUCUUGAUCAUAAUAUCAAUUAAAUGUGUGGCCCUGAUUCAAUAGCUACCAUUUAUUGAGCAUCUAUUUUGUGCCAGACUUGCUGCUGGUAUUUGAUAGUGCAGUGCCUGACAAGUAGACACACUGGCUUAAAUGUCAUUGUUACUGGUAUUAUUGUUACAAUGAUGUUUUAAUCCUCCCAAUGUAAUUAAGCCUUUAUUAUAAAGAUCAUAAGAUGUUCACUUUACUUAUUUCCUUGUCCUUUUCUUCCUCCGUGCAUGCUUGCUUGCACGAGGGAAGUCACUAGUAAUUGAUUAACUUCCUACCCUAACCCCCAGGGCUGCCUGCAAGAUUGAUGAACUGUUUUUCUUUCAAAGAACAAUGAUCCUUAGGUCAUGCAGACCUCCUUGAUAGCAUCUAGGAGUUUGUUUGGGCCGAGGAACUCAAACAGUUUUGAGUAUUGGGGGAAUCCAUCUCCUGCAUACCUGCUUUGCUCAUAAAAGCCCCCAGUUAUGUUAAAAGGCAGAUUGGAUUUGAGAGGCUGCUUCUCCUGCCUUCUUGCUUUAGCCGAGUCAAAUAAACCUUCCUCUGCUUCUAAGUGCUGAUGUGUCGGUGUUAGGUUUGCUGUAUAUCAGGUACAUGAACCCAAAAUUUGGGGUUUGAUAACACUAACAGCUCUGCACAGUAAAUAUUGUCAUCCAGUCUUACUAAUGGGGAAAACAUGUGCACAGGACUUGCCCAAGGUCACACAUUUAAUCAGUGGCAAAGUCAGAGUUAAAAAUAUUUAUGUACUUUUUUUUGUUUUUAUAAUUCAAGGAUGUAUCACUAUUUUAUGUACCACGAAGAAAGAAAAACAGCUAACUAUUAAACUAUAAUACAGUAUUUCCUUCGCAUUUAGAAUUUUUGUUGUAAACUCAUUAUAAAGAGCUCUUUUAAACUCAGUUAGACAUAGGCUUUGCUUAUUUAUUGUGCUUUUGCAUAUAUAGAAAAGAAAAUAUGAGUGAAAUAAAUUGGUUAAUUAUUUUAAAAAUAUCUUCACCUUCAAACCCUUCUUCUUUUUUUAAAUAUUGUUUUUAAUCAUAUGAUUAUCUCAAUAGAGAAA